rnacentral:rRNA from 1 species
AGAGUUUGAUCCUGGCUCAGGACGAACGCUGGCGGCGCGCCUAACACAUGCAAGUCGAACGGAGCUUAGAGAGCUUGCUUUUUAAGCUUAGUGGCGAACGGGUGAGUAACGCGUGAGUAACCUGCCCUGGAGUGGGGGACAACAGUUGGAAACGACUGCUAAUACCGCAUAAGCCCACGGUCCGGCAUCGGGCUGCGGGAAAAGGAUUUAUUCGCUUCAGGAUGGACUCGCGUCCAAUUAGCUAGUUGGUGAGGUAACGGCCCACCAAGGCGACGAUUGGUAGCCGGACUGAGAGGUUGAACGGCCACAUUGGGACUGAGACACGGCCCAGACUCCUACGGGAGGCAGCAGUGGGGGAUAUUGCACAAUGGGGGAAACCCUGAUGCAGCGACGCCGCGUGGAGGAAGAAGGUUUUCGGAUUGUAAACUCCUGUCGUUAGGGACGAUAAUGACGGUACCUAACAAGAAAGCACCGGCUAACUACGUGCCAGCAGCCGCGGUAAAACGUAGGGUGCAAGCGUUGUCCGGAAUUACUGGGUGUAAAGGGAGCGCAGGCGGGAAGACAAGUUGGAAGUGAAAUCCAUGGGCUCAACCCAUGAACUGCUUUCAAAACUGUUUUUCUUGAGUAGUGCAGAGGUAGGCGGAAUUCCCGGUGUAGCGGUGGAAUGCGUAGAUAUCGGGAGGAACACCAGUGGCGAAGGCGGCCUACUGGGCACCAACUGACGCUGAGGCUCGAAAGCAUGGGUAGCAAACAGGAUUAGAUACCCUGGUAGUCCAUGCCGUAAACGAUGAUUACUAGGUGUUGGAGGAUUGACCCCUUCAGUGCCGCAGUUAACACAAUAAGUAAUCCACCUGGGGAGUACGACCGCAAGGUUGAAACUCAAAGGAAUUGACGGGGGCC